UACGUAGGGGGCUAGCGUUGUCCGGAAUCAUUGGGCGUAAAGCGCGUGUAGGCGGUUCGGUAAGUCCGCUGUGAAAGUCGGGGGCUCAACCCUCGGAAGCCGGUGGAUACUGUCGGGCUAGAGUACGGAAGAGGCGAGUGGAAUUCCUGGUGUAGCGGUGAAAUGCGCAGAUAUCAGGAGGAACACCGGUGGCGAAGGCGGGUCUCUGGGCCGAUACUGACGCUGAGGAGCGAAAGCGUGGGGAGCGAACGGG
rnacentral:rRNA from 1 species